GUUGUUUUCUUUUAAUGUUUGUUUUGGCUAAAUGCAGACAAAUUGGUACAGAGAUUACAGAGAAAACAUUAUUAAUUUUUGCCAUAACAACCACCAUUACCACUGUUGCCAAUUUUCUUUUCAGCAGCACCUGAGCCAUAUGGUGGGAAAUGCUCCAAACCAAAGAAUCAGCUUGACACAAAUAGAAGAUUUUCGACCCAAACGGAAAGCUAUGACAAAUAUACUUCAGGAUUUUACAAUGCACCACGUUGGAGGAAAAGAAAUCCACGUGAAAAUGCAUACUAGGAGCCAAGAAGACUUGGAAGAGAAUAACAAAGGAGAACGAUAUGUAGACAUGAGAAAGAGAUGAAAUGAGUGUGUUAGUUUACAAGAAAAAUCAACUGGAAAAUCUAUAGAUGAAAAAGUGGCAAAUUCAAAAAAUAAGAUGCAGGAAGUACACUGUAACAUUUCAGAACUGAUAGAAAUGGAAAUUUAAAACUAUGCUCUGGAUGGUCACAUAUAAAAGUCUUCAAUAUAUUCAGUAAAUUUUAUCUUAUGAAAAUUUGAUAAUUGAAAUUAUUUUUACAGACUACUUUUUAAUGCACAAUUAAUAAAAGGAAUAGAUACUAUCAGUUUUACUUUGGACUUUCAGAGGACUUUUAAUGCCAACAGCAACACUCGUGCAUUCUAGAAAGUAAUUGUUUCCGUGUGAAAGCCGGAUCCUUAGAUGGUUCAGCUGUUUGCUGGCUGUUCGAGGGCUCAGUCUGAGUUGGAUCUGGAGAUUUUGCCACUUGAGCAGGGCAGCAGAACUAUGUGAUGAACUAAAUGAGCUGUGCAACAAAACUUUCAGAAUUAACUGAAACAUGCUGUACACACACUUUAAAGCAUAAAAUAUUUCAUUUUUACCCCAAUCCACAAAAAGGGCUGCAACUCCAGGCCUGGCAACUCCAGACCUGUCAGCCUGACCUCGGUGCCUGGCAGCGUUAUGGAGCAGAUCAUCCUGAAUGCAAUCACACAGCACCUUCAGGAUGGACAAGGGAUCAGACCCAGCCAGCAUGGGUUUAGGAGGGGCAGGUCCUGUCUGACCAACCUGAUCUCCUUUUGUGAUCAGGUGACCCACCUGGUGGAUGAGGGGAAAGCUGUAGGUGUGGUCUAUCUGGACUUCAGCAAAGCCUUUGACACUGUCUCCCAUAAUA